AGCGAACGCUGGCGGCAGGCCUAACACAUGCAAGUCGAACGAACCCUUCGGGGUUAGUGGCGGACGGGUGAGUAACACGUGGGAACGUGCCUUUAGGUUCGGAAUAACUCAGGGAAACUUGUGCUAAUACCGAAUGUGCCCUUCGGGGGAAAGAUUUAUCGCCUUUGGAGCGGCCCGCGUCUGAUUAGCUAGUUGGUGAGGUAAUGGCUCACCAAGGCUACGAUCAGUAGCUGGUCCGAGAGGAUGACCAGCCACAUUGGGACUGAGACACGGCCCAAACUCCUACGGGAGGCAGCAGUGGGGAAUCUUGCGCAAUGGGCGAAAGCCUGACGCAGCCAUGCCGCGUGGAUGAUGAAGGUCUUAGGAUUGUAAAAUCCCUUCACCGGGGACGAUAAUGACGGUACCCGGAGAAGAAGCCCCGGCUAACUUCGUGCCAGCAGCCGCGGUAAUAC
rnacentral:rRNA from 1 species